rnacentral:lncRNA from 1 species
CGUCCUGCUAACAAGAUAUGGGAUACAAAGGUAACUCAGAAAUGUCACGUUCCUUGCUACUACCACGGUCCAGCUAGUCAGGGGAUAUCUAUGAGUACCCUAGACUAAACACCACGUUUACGCUAGCAAUGAUUACUCUAAUACUCAACCGGAAGAGGAUUAAAGUAAACUCAUAAACCAAAGAACAAUAAAACAAGAACUUACUAGAAUUAGAAGUCGAAUUACUGAAGAAUCUUAGAAGCAAGCCUCGGGUUAGGAGACUUGAUCCCGUAGGUACAACUCGGAGUAGACACCGACAGGCCGGCCUUCCUCCAAUCUACACCUCCACUCUAUAUCUCUCAAUCUAGUAGAAACUAGAAGAUCUAUUUCUACCUUACAUUGGUUGCUAAGCCUAAAAAGAAAUAUUAUUUAGAGAAGAGGUUUUCCUUCGAGGGCACCCCUCAAUCUCUAUGAUAACUUCUUGUCUCCUCCAGGGGCCAGGGGGGUCUCCUUAUAUAGUCCUCCCCUUCUAUGCGUUUUUGGGUCGGUAGGCGAUGUGGUACUACGUUAUUCUGGAUCCAAUAGGUCGGUGGAGAUCUCCCGAGAAAAAGAGUCCUGAUUGGGCUCGGCAGGUGGGCGGGCGCCCAAGGAAACUGGGCGGGCGCCCAGGUCCUGGCCCCAUUUCGCCUCCGCUUCGGUCUCGUGGCUUCUGGAGUCUUCUAGAUGGUAGAAAAUUGCGCGGUGUGUUGAUAUCUCUAUGUAAUCCUGACAUGUGGGCCUUUCUUCCUUACUUCCUGAUAACCCCCUGCAGAAAUAGACAAACACCAAAACUCGUGCAAUUCUGUCAGAUAAAACCCUAAGUCUAGAUGUUGAUUUCAUUUGGAUCCUUUUCUUUGUUUAUUUGAUAAUUAAAUUUGAUACUUAAGGACCGUCAACAAACUCCCCCAAGCUUACCUCUUGCUCGUCCCUGAGCAAGGAUGAACUCAAGAGUUUCUGCAGUGGUUUCAUGCCUUAAAAGUACACAAGCAUUCAAGCAAGAUCUCAUCUCUGAGAAUAAACUGUUAAGACCUAAAACUUACUCAUUUUACCUUUCACCAUGGGGCUUGUAACCAUCACUUGUGUCUUGAGCAGUUAAAAGAUAGAACGGUCAAGUCAAGCGCCAUGUCUCUUACUCUUGAUCAGCUAUAGCUCUGGGGUUUUUUUGCAGAUUUUCAAAUAAAACUCAGAGAUUCCUUGUAUGACUCUCUCAAAUCUCUCUUUUGUGGUAUUUCUAGAUCCUUACCAAGGCAGUAAUGGUAUAUGCCUUCUCUCAAAAUAUGUGGUAUUUUUGGUAUAAUGCAUAGUGAUAUUACCUUCUCUCUCACCCUACUCUAAUAAGGUUUUGAUAUCUGGAGCUCAUAGGUGGGAGACAGCUAAUACAUACUUACAAGACAUUUAUUGUAUAGUCAAACCAUGGAUCCAGAGAACACAAGUCAAUAAGUCAAAUCAAGAUGUGCAUGUGUGGCGAAUGAAUGGUGUAUGGUGAUGAUGAUGAUAAUAAUGGUGAAAGUCUAAUUCUACUUUUGCUCUUUUGAGGGGAUACAUACCUUUCUUGCACUUUGAACCUUUUUUGGGGAGAAUGAGAUGCUCUAUAUUUUAUUUUUCUUUCCUCUCAGGUGGGUAUCUUGUACCCCUAAUUCUACUGUCGGACACUUGUCUAUUUUUACCUCUCGUCUCACUUUUUUCUUUUUCUUCGAUGUUCCGGGCACUUGCCCCUUUUUAUUUCCUCGUAUUAUUAUUAUUUUUUCUUUCUCUUCUUUUUUUGAGCACUCAUCUCCUGAAAUAAUGUAGCAAGUGGUAGUAACCAAAAUAACUAGAGCAUUUAUUUCACAGGGAUAGGAAAAUAUUUUAGCUAUUCUCUCCCGGAUUAGGAGUAGAAUACUUUUGGGUGAAUCUGGAGAUGGAAAUAAGUGGAUAUAUGUGGAUGGUACUUCCGGAGUAGAAGUAGCAUGUAUGAGUGAACGUGCAAGUGAAUCUUGAUUUUAACCACAUGACAAGCUCCUAAGGGUCUACACAGCUUGACCACACUCAAUGCUCGUAAGCAGUAAAAAGUAAAUAUGUGGCUCAAAGUCUAGCAAGCAUGUAUAUAUGGCUGUGGUAGGAUUUUAAACUCUCAUCAUACAGGAACUCAUCAUGUGUUAUUUUUAAAGAUUUUUCAAAGAUAAAAUUCUCCAGAAUUCUAGCAUCUCUAGGAACAGAUAAACAACAGCUCAACCUUCCCAUAUCAUAUCCGUUAACAACUUAGAUUUUAGAUCAAGUACUCUUCCCACAAGUUCCGGUUUAGAGCAAAUCUUAUUUCUAACAGUCAUGCCUAAACUUGAGAGAGAUUUUAAUUUUAAGAACUAAUCAUGGCAGAGCAACUAUUCAUCAUUUCCAUGUGAGAGCUUAUCAUGAGGGUUCAUAGCAAACUUUAUUUAUUUAUUUAUUUAGCAAACUAAGCAAAGAUAUAUAUAUAAAAGCACAAAAUCUUUAUUUGGGUUUUUAUGAUUAUGCAUCUUUUUAUUAUUUGAGUAAAGUAUAAACGCGAGUAGAAACACUUAGCUGGAUAAAUGGAGGUGCUCUCCCCGAAGCUGGAUUUUGACGUAAUUUCUUCUGAUGUAGCUAGCAGGUGGUGGAGGUGUAUUUGAAAGUUGGCAGCACCCUGACAGCGAUUAGGAUGUCCUCCAUCUGCUAGUCUUCUUUGAUCCUUAAUUUCUGUGGAGCUCAAAUAGACAACAAAGCUUUGUGGAACUGGUUAAGUGUUAGCAUAAAUAUCUAGCCUUUAUCAUGUUGAGCCUCCUCAAUAAAUAUUACUCAUUUAGCAGGAUCAUGCACUUAUUAUUUAUAUUUUUAUUGUAAGAUAAAAACUUAUUUAUUUUAUUUUUAUGCCACCACAGUGAAUGUACUUAUGGGUUUUAUGCCAUGAGCAUACUCACAUGGGGCUUACUAUUUUUUUAACAUUUUUAUUUUCUUUUCAAGAUAGCAUGAACCUCAUUAACUAAGCAAACUAUUGAAAGGAAAAGGAUAACUACCAAGUUUACCUCUUGGCAAGGCGUUCAGUGUUUUUAAGUCCUCCGAACGGGACUCUCCGUUUUCUCAGUCGUCCUGGGAUUCACUGGAUGGCGUAGUCAGCGGUUCCGGCGGCGCCUCCUCUUCGUGUGUAACUAUCUUCUCUCUCCACACCUGAAUCGGUGCUACGGUCUCCUCAGGACAGUUCUGUUCAAGCUAUAUGUCUUCAGACCUAUCACUUCUCCUUCGUAGUCUAUCCAUCCGUCCUUGAUGAUUCGCCUCCUCUGGUUGCGGUUGCGUUGUCUUCUUCUUGUCCUGACCUGCUUAGAGUCUUCAACUAUAUAGUUAAGGUCAGUAAAAUAGCUGCGUAUCUUCUCAGAGGGGAAGUGCAUGUGGACUUCUCCGGUUCCAAUAUAGAUGAUGGCUUUAUUAGUGUUGAGGAACGGUCUUCCAAGGAUGGUGGGUGGAUCAUACUCGUCUUCUCCCAUGUCAAUGUUCUAAAAAUCAUCUGGAGCUGAAUAUAUAUUGGUUGUAGGGGCAUGGUUCUAUGCAGGAGCUGAUAAGUGACUGCGGCCAUUAUGUUGACGUCAGAUCCGGUGUCGUAGAGUGUCUUCUAAAAAGAGUAUCUGUUGAUUGUGCACUCGAUGCUUGGAACACCAGGGUCGUCCUUCUUGAUCAAGAAAGGUGACUUGAGUCGACGAUCUUGACUUCCUUGAGUUGCAGUGACCAUCUUAGUUGACUCGGUCCACAUUUGCUUGUUCCUGUUCCUCCUGUUGGUCCUCUUCCUUGGUUCAUGUCGGGAUUGCUCUGAAGUUUGUGUAGUCUUGUUCUUGAAGAAAAGUCUCCUUCUUCCCCUUGAUGUAGGAACUGAUCUUGGCAGCAUUAGCGUAGAUGACAGCUCUGGUGUUUAGGAAUGGCCUCCCUAGGAUGAUGGGUGCCCUCUCCUCAGUACCAGUCUCUAUCACCACGAAGUUGCUGGAGCGUACAAGGUACCAACUCGGACACAGAGGUUCUUCAAUAUUUCCUUUGGGAAACUAAGUGUCUGAUCUCCAUUGUGUUUGUGCUCGUAGAUCUAGGUCCUUCACUUGGUGGAAUCUGGGAGUUGUAAAACUCCUCCAUGUUUUGCUUGAAGUGUACCUGUUCAUAGAGACAAGGCAGAGAUCAAGUGCAUAGGCCCUGUUGGUGGAAAACACCAACAGAACCAAAAGUGUAUUUGUUCUUCUCUAACCUUAAGCAUAGUGAGCAAGACAAAGUUGAUGGAUCAUGAGUGUAGCAUUUAAAACAUUUGUUAGAUCAGAUGGCUCAACCUAAUGGAAAGAUAAUCUAUCUAUAUUUAUGUUUUGUUUAUAUCUUCCAAAGGUUGAAUGCGCCGCAUUUUAUCUUAUAUGAUUAGGAGUGUGGGAUCACGAAGGUAGUACUAAGAACAAAGAUUAAAGGACUAAACAUGGUGAAUUAAUUAGGUUGGUUAAUCUGGAUUUAUAAAUCAUACAUGUUUGUCUCUUUAUUUUUUGUGAAUGCUAGGACCAAGGAGAAAUUUAUAAAAGUGAUAGUCAAGUACCUUAAGAUGUUACCUUACUUGAAGAGUGACGGUACAGUAUCACCUUGUGGAAGCUUUCCUUUUCUUCGCGGUUGUGCAUCGUGUUUGUGGCACUCUUCAUGGAUCAUCUCUUAUGAGCUACGUCUUUCUUGUGCAAAUUGUUAAACUUCAUGUGUCACUUUCUUCAUCUCCAAUGAGUUUGUAUCUCAGGACUUCCCAGGUUGAUAUUGAAAGUUUUCCUGCAGGGGUUAGUCCGACAAAAUAUACCAAUAUGUACUCAAGCAGUUUUUAGUUCAGUAACCAAACUAGACUCCAUGUCUAAUCAAAUUAAGGAAGGCUAUUUAACCUAAGCACCACGCUUAAUUUAAAAAUCCUUUGGAAGUAAGAUCAUCAUUCCUAAACUAAGCACCAUGCUUAAUUAAGAGAUAAAUGAAACUACUCCAAACUUAGACAUAUACUAAAGCAAAUAAAGGUAGCAUGAGAGCAUUUAUAGAGAUCUACUUAAGUGGAGAUGAAGUAGUGUGAUUAGUAUUUAACAAAUUGAGCAUGUCUCAAAGGUAGGGGCAACCAACAUAGCAACAUGGCAAAUGAUGUUUUUAUGUAAAGUACUCCCCCAAGCUUGAAUUUUGCAAAAUUCAAGAUUGGAUGAAUUUAAUUCAAUGUUGCAUGAUGAUUGGCUGGGCAUAUCUUGCGCUUGUCAUUCCUCGGAUCUUCUUGCUCCGAUCCUGGAAAGGUUAGUGGCAAGAAUACCCGAAGGAAUAUUUCUACAAUUAUCUCAAUAUGCUCAAUACACAAGGCAAUGUUGCAAAUAAUUAGAAGUUCAUGUUACGAUCUGAUAAGUGCUUGUUUAAGGACGCUAAGCUUAUCCUUGGGAAACCAUCAAGUUAUGUUGGUGAAGUGGUUUCCCCUCCAACACCUACCUAUAUCAAGAUUAACUCUACGAGAUCUGCAAUAUUUAUUAUAGACAUAUGCAUCGACAACCGCUCUUUUAAAGUUGUUAUAAAUAGAAAAGAAGAGGGGGUUGGAGAUCACAAAUGUGAUAAGGAUGAAGACACCAACUGAUUGGAGAGAUGUUUUAUAUGAGCAAGGACUGGGUGAGGUAUUUAUGAAAUAACUUCCAUGCUCACUAUUGUUUCUCUCAUUCUCAAACUCCAAGGAUGAUUCUUCAUGAAUGCUUAAAAUUCCUCUAGGAUUGUCUCUCAAGUUUGUUUUAUCUAUCCAUUCAAUGGUGAUAGCACAUAGAUUUUUAAUGCCCUCUAGCCAUUGAUGUUGCUCUUCUCGAUCCUCCUUCUUAUGCAUGGGAUGUCUAGAGAGAUUCAUAGGAUUAUCGGGAGGUUCAAGAGAAAGAGCAUAGUAGAAUUUAUUAAGCUCAAGGAUGGGUUGGAUAGCCGAAUCAUGGGAUUGAAAUGUUUGGAAAUCGGCUAUUGAACCUUCCUCUCCUUGUAUGGGAGAUGAUUCCUUCUCUAUCUCUAAGAUUUUUCUAUGAAGACUAGUACAAGAAGGAUGUCCACGAAUGAAGACAUACCUUCCUUUACUAAUAGAUAAAGAAAGAAAGACUCUACCAAAAAUUAUAUGAUUAAGACCAAUGUGAAAAUAUCUAGGAAAAACAUGGUCUUGUAGGGCUAGGUCUAAACCAGAAUUUAUAGAAAGAUUAACACAUUCCCUAGGUGUAGCUAAAACUGCAUUAUCUUUUUGAUUAAAAGAUAGGACCUCGGCUAUAGAAAAGGGUUGGUUUUGACCUAUUGCAAUCAACUCCGGACACAGAUCAUAAUUAGGGGCAGGACGUGUUGACUCCCAUGGUCUAUGGCUGGUCUCCGAAGGUGCAAAGAAUUCAAUAAUAGGUAUGGAAUUUAAGUUAUCCAUAAAGAUAAAAAGAUAAAAGAAUAAAAGUAUAAAAGUAUAAUACAAGAUAAUAGCAAGACUCAAAGUUAUCUCAGCAAACCGUCUUUCUCCUCGGCAACGGCGCCAGAAAUGCUUGUUGAUAUUUGGUAACGCAAUAAGAAAAUGAUCCGCAAGCGCACGGAUAUCGGUGAGCAUUUCACCCGGGAGGUUAUCCAAAGUUAUCGUAUUUAUAUUUUUACCACUAGGAGAAAGGGUGCAUCUGACUAACCAAAUCUAUUGCUACUACCCCUUUAGGCUACAAAGAAUGUUUCUCGAUGUGAGUGAUGUAUAGAGAAGACUGCAACCGUAGUCUCGUUCUAACCUUGGUAAGGAUGAUCUACUGUUCUAUUGGGGAGGCUCACGGAAUCUAGACACCACAAAGGAUGUUCGACCCGCACCUAUAAACCCUACCCGUCCUGCUAACAAGAUAUGGGAUACAAAGGUAACUCGGAAAUGUCACGUUCCUCGCUACUACCACGGUCCAGCUAGUCAGGGGAUAUCUAUGAGUACCCUAGCCUAAACACCACGUUUACGCUAGCAAUGAUUACUCUAAUACUCAACCGGAAGAGGAUUAAAGUAAACUCAUAAACCAAAGAACAAUAAAACAAGAACUUACUAGAAUUAGAAGUCGAAUUACUGAAGAAUCUUAGAAGCAAGCCUCGGGUUAGGAGACUUGAUCCCGUAGGUACAACUCGGAGUAGACACCGACAGGCCGGCCUUCCUCCAAUCUACACCUCCACUCUAUAUCUCUCAAUCUAGUAGAAACUAGAAGAUCUAUUUCUACCUUACAUUGGUUGCUAAGCCUAAAAAGAAAUAUUAUUUAGAGAAGAGGUUUUCCUUCGAGGGCACCCCUCAAUCUCUAUGAUAACUUCUUGUCUCCUCCAGGGGCCAGGGGGGUCUCCUUAUAUAGUCCUCCCCUUCUAUGCGUUUUUGGGUCGGUAGGCGAUGUGGUACUACGUUAUUCUGGAUCCAAUAGGUCGGUGGAGAUCUCCCGAGAAAAAGAGUCCUGAUUGGGCUCGGCAGGUGGGCGGGCGCCCAGGUCCUGGCCCCAUUUCGCCUCCGCUUCGGUCUCGUGGCUUCUGGAGUCUUCU